UACAGAGGCCUCGAGCGUUAGGCGGAAUCACUGGGCUUAAAGCGUGUGUAGGCGGACUUCUAAGUACCUUGUGAAAUCCCACGGCUCACCCGUGGAACUGCUCGGUAUACUGGUCGUCUUGAGCCUUCUAGGGGGCGAGUGGAACAAAUGGUGGAGCGGUGAAAUGCGUAGAUAUCAUUUGGAACGCCAAUGGUGAAAACAACUCGCUGGGGAAGUGCUGACGCUGAGACACGAAAGCCAGGGGAGCGAACGGG
rnacentral:rRNA from 1 species